rnacentral:rRNA from 1 species
UACGGAGGGGACUAGCGUUGUUCGGAAUUACUGGGCGUAAAGCGCACGUAGGCGGAUUUGUAAGUCAGGGGUGAAAUCCCGGGGCUCAACCUCGGAACUGCCUUUGAUACUGCAAAUCUCGAGUCCGGAAGAGGUGAGUGGAAUUCCUAGUGUAGAGGUGAAAUUCGUAGAUAUUAGGAAGAACACCAGUGGCGAAGGCGGCUCACUGGUCCGGUACUGACGCUGAGGCACGAAAGCGUGGGAAGCAAACAGG